AUACGUAGGUGACAAGCGUUAUCCGGAUUUACUGGGCGUAAAGGGCGUGUAGGCGGUCUUGCAAGUCAGAAGUGAAAUUCCUGAGCUCAACUCGGGCGCUGCUUCUGAAACUGCAGGACUUGAGUGCUGGAGGGGAUAGCGGAAUUCCUAGUGGAGCGGUAAAAUGCGCAGAUAUUAGGAAGAACACCGGUGGCGAAGGCGGGUAACUGGACUGCAACUGACGCUGAGGCGCGAAAGUGUGGGGAGCAAACAGGAUUAGAUACCCUGGUAGUCCACACUGUAAACGAUGAAUGCUAGGUGUAGGAGGUAUCGACCCCUUCUGUGCCGCAGUAAACACAGUAAGCAUUCCGCCUGGGGAGUACGGUCGCAAGAUUAAAACUCAAAGGAAUUGACGGGG
rnacentral:rRNA from 1 species